rnacentral:rRNA from 1 species
UACGUAGGGUCCGAGCGUUGUCCGGAAUUAUUGGGCGUAAAGGGCUCGUAGGCGGUUUGUCGCGUCGGGAGUGAAAACACCGGGCUUAACUCGGUGCUUGCUUUCGAUACGGGCAGACUGGAGGUAUGCAGGGGAGAACGGAAUUCCUGGUGUAGCGGUGAAAUGCGCAGAUAUCAGGAGGAACACCGGUGGCGAAGGCGGUUCUCUGGGCAUGAUCUGACGCUGAGGAGCGAAAGUGUGGGGAGCGAACAGG